rnacentral:lncRNA from 1 species
CUACUGCUUUUCAUGUAACUGUGAUGUCCUGUUUUAAUGGAAAAUUGACUUUUGCAGUGUGCCCCAAAGAAUAAAGCCCUCAAAGGAUGUGAAGCCUGAACUCACUUCAAAUGCUGGAAAGGCCCUUUCCUUAGCUGAGCUGUGGAGGAACCAGGACUCCUGUGGCACUGCCCUAACGAGGAGGCAGUGCUGCCAGAUUCAGGUCUGCAAGACAGCUUUGAUUCAGCUGAUUUCAGCCAGGCUCACCCCGACUUUGCAGGGCGCUGCGAACCCCAGCCUUCAGGUCGGGUUCAGCAUCCAGCAGUGCCCUGGAAAAGUGGCUGUGAAGUUACUUGCAAGACUGCAUUGAACCCGGGCGAGACACUUCUCAGGGGAGCUGUCCAGCUACAUUCUCUGAGUGAAGGUCCUGAACAGCUUGGAGUAC